GAUGAACGCUGGCGGCGUGCUUAACACAUGCAAGUCGAACGGAAAGGCCCAAGCUUGCUUGGGUACUCGAGUGGCGAACGGGUGAGUAACACGUGGGUGAUCUGCCCUGCACUUCGGGAUAAGCCUGGGAAACUGGGUCUAAUACCGGAUAGGACCACUUCUUGGAUGUUGUGGUGGAAAGUUUUUUCGGUGUGGGAUGAGCUCGCGGCCUAUCAGCUUGUUGGUGGGGUAAUGGCCUACCAAGGCGUCGACGGGUAGCCGGCCUGGGAGGGUGUACGGCCACAUUGGGACUGAGAUACGGCCCAGACUCCUACGGGAGGCAGCAGGGGGGAAUAUUGCACAAUGGGCGCAAGCCUGAUGCAGCGACGCCGCGUGGGGGAUGACGGCCUUCGGGUUGGAAACUCCUUUCGCUAGGGACGAAGCGUUUUGUGACGGUACCUGGAGAAGAAGCACCGGCUAACUACGUG
rnacentral:rRNA from 1 species